rnacentral:lncRNA from 1 species
UUUCUUCUUCAACUAAAAUGUGUACUUAUUGUAAAAUUAUAUUUGGAGGGUAUUUAAAUUUAAUACUCAUAAAAACAAAAUAUAUGGACUUAUCUCUUAAGCUUCAAAUAAUAAAUAUGAGAUUAUAAAGUUAGAGGUCAAAAUAGGAAAAUAAACAGGUAAAAAUAACAAAUAUUUUAUAUAAUAAACUUUCAUACAUAAAUGAAAAGUCCUCUUCUCCCUUUCCCAUUAAAUGACUUCCUUUCCCCGUGUUCUCUAUACUCCAAACAAAUUAAUGUUAAAGUAAAAUA